CCUUCUCCAGGGGAAUCUUCUAGAUCCAGGGGUCAAACCCGGGUCUCCUGCAUUGCAGGAGGAUUCUUUACUGACUGAGCCACCAGGGAAACCCCCCAACUUCCUUUUCUUCUCCAUAAAAAAUUAUCUCCUUUCCCUUGCCAUGUGGGGACUUGCAUAUAGCUCACCAUGGUGGCUGACUCUAAAUUGCAAUUCUCUGCUGAUCCCAAGUAAACCAUCCUAGCUGGAAAAAUAGCGCUUUGGAACAGGAACUGCCUAAAGUUGGGGACUAAAACUCAUCCUUCCCUGUAUAGCACUUGGACAGGAAGCGUUUUCUUCCUGCUGUACCUUUUCCUUUGCUUGGGAGACUUUGAUUGUCUCCGCUUUAGUCCCUUAUACGUGAUCAUAGAGUCAAUCUCAUGGAUGGCAACCCCAGUUACCUCAUUUAAGGUUCAUAAGGAGCUCCCCUGUAGCUUCAGGAAGAUUCCCUGGAGAAGGAAAUGGCAACCCACUCCACUAUUCUUGUCUGGAAAAUCCAAUGGACAGAGGAGCCUGGUCAGCUACAGUCCAUGGGGUCGCGAACAGUCGGACACAACUGAAAGGAAUUUGGACCAGACACAUCUGGCUUCUCUCUGUGGGUGACAUAGUCUCUCAAGACAUGUUUAUACACUUGACAAAGAAACCGCCUUUUCGAACUUGGACCUUGACAUUCCAGUGAGAUCUUCCUGACAGUGACUUCCACGACCAGGAGCACAGGAAAUGGCUCAUCCUCACGCCUGGCUAUUGCCGCAUGUUCUGGGACCAGAACCGGAUCCUGACCCCUCUCUGGGGUAAAGCCUGCCUGACUGCAUGCUUAGCUGGGUCUCAUGUCUCGAAGCUCCUUCAACUAAAAGCAGUUUAACUGGGACGCAACAUGGGAAUCUCCAUAUAGCCAGGCCUCCUCUUCAUCAGUUAUCAACAUUUUGGUUUGAGAAGUUGUAGAAGGAUGGAAAUUCUGACACAUGCAGCAGUGAAGAUGAACCUGAAAGACAUUAUGUGAAGUGAAACAACCUGAUCACAAACGGACCAAUACGGCCAGUGGUUAAGAAUCUGCCUGCCAAUGCAGAGGACAUGGGUUCAGUACCUAGUCCGAGACGAUUCCACAUGCUGCAGAGCAACUAAACUCAUGCACCAUACCUACCGAAGCCCUCACGCUCAAAAACUCCCCAACAAGAGAAGUGAUUGCAACGAGAAGUCCACUCACUGCAACUAGAGAAAGUCCUCCCGAAACAAUGAAAACCCAGAUGCAGUCAAAAAUAA